GAAAUGCGAUAAGUAAUGUGAAUUGCAAAAUUCCGUGAAUCAUUAAAUCUUUGAACGCACCUUGCGCUCUUUGGCAAUCCAGAGAGCAUGUCUGUUUGAGAAUCAGUUUAAAUCUCAUUAUUAUUAAUAUUUGUUUAUUGAUAAUAGUGGUUGUGGGUUUUUCAUGUCAAAAUGAAAUUCCUUAAAUACAAUUUGCUUGGUUUUUAAAUUUAUGUUUAAUCGGAAAGCAUGACCAAUGGGGCUUUAACGAGCUAUCCUCUUUGAUUGCUGAUAAAGAUUUAAUGUUUAUUUAAAAUUAUACUAUGGCAACUACUAAAACACCAAGGCGGGUUAACCCCAUCUUGAAGACUUGAUCUCAAAUCAGACAAGACUACCCGCUGAACUUAA
rnacentral:misc_RNA from 1 species